rnacentral:lncRNA from 1 species
CUAUCAAGUAUUGUCACUACUUGCAGGUGUUCCUUCUAGAUCAAAACUUGUUGAUCAAGGCUCUUUGACCAUCUCAGGUCUGCAUCUCACUGUGAUCGCAUUUACAAAGGUGAGUUUCUUCACUGAUAAGAAGGAGGUUCAGAGAUCUUCGACCGCCUAGGGAUAUAUAGCACACGUGCGUUAUUCCUCCUUGCUUGGCAUAAUUUUAUCAACUUAUAUAUCUUUUCAAGCAUAAUUUGCUUGAGUUGCGAUGAAUUGUGAUAGAACAUCUAAAAUAAGUGGGGAGUUGUUAUACAUUAUCACUUUUGUCAUCAACUUGGCACUUAGUUUACACCUAUUUUGGAUUUCAGUGAUCUUUAUUGGAUUUUUGCAUUCCUGCAGGCAUUAGCUAAUUGCCAGAGCACUAAUUGUAAUUCAAUAUCUAUUAAUCCUGGUGGCUUGUUAUUUAUGUAGGCUGUCUCACUCAUUGCUUCUUAUUUACUAGUUCCUUUGCAUUAUCCUUUAUGGCUAGGAGGUUCUCGAUCAUAUAUACGUGAUUAUGCACCUGCAAUUGAUCAUUCAAUGUCCAGUUCAGACUCUUAUUCAGUAAGUUUGACAAGUUUGAAGCCGGUAGAAUUCCCUCUCUUUAUAGAAGGACAAACUUCACAAGAGCAGCUUAUGCUAUGUUCUUGUUAAAUAAGGUGUGUACCACUUCUUAAUUUUUUAGUGUGUCGAACCAUAUUGGAACAUCUUCAUAAUUUUUGGAGUAUUAUAAGACAAUCUACUAAUGAUCUUACAUAAAUUUUCUGUUAUACAGGGCUUAGAGUUUGGCAUAUAAAUUUUUCUUGUUAAUUUUGUACCGUCCCCAUUUUUGUGCUUUUGCUCAUGAGUGUUGAUUCUUUUACUGAUGUGUAGAUCUAGAUGGUGGUGUUAGCUCAUUACUCAGCUUUUGAAUUUUUCUGUACCUAUCCUUCAGUAGAUAUUCUUACUUAAAUUAAGCGGAAGAUUUUUCUAGACUAUAGUUACAAAAGUAAUUUGUUAAAACAAUGAUAUUAUCUAUUUUUUGUAGCUGCAUUUGAUUAUGGAGAGGAUCUCUGGUGUAGGUGAUGAAUGUUAUACCAACAUUUAUAUUCUUCAAUCCACCAACAUGAUUUUUAUUAAAUACGAAACUGUAUAACUAAACUGUUAUAGAUGACAUUGGAUUUAUUCAUAUCCAGUUUCAAUUUCUGCACAUAGGUUGGAAUUGACUUCAUCACAAAUUAUAUUGCUAUUUCUGUGCCAUGUCGAUGACCUUUUCUAUGUUAAUCAACGACCUUUUUAUAGGAUUUAGAGCAGCUUCUGAAUUUUAUUGGAGUGAAGAGCUUAGGGCCACGCUUUGUUCUUGCUAAUUUGAAGGAGCUUUUGAGGACUAUCCUUUCUUUAGAAUAUAUAGAGAUGUAAGUUUGAAAUGUUAGAAUUGAUUGUUAAUUUCUGUAAAUGGACUGAUUGUAUUCUAAUUUCUUAUAGAGCUGCCAAUUUUUUAAGAAGCACCUUGGCAUAAAUCUUGGUCCAUUUGUUGGAUAAUGCAAAUCAUGGUCGUUAAGAAUAAUCCAAUUUUGAUUUUCUUUUUCUGA